AACUGCUGUCCUGGGCCCAGAGGCUUAGUGCCAAAGGGCCGGGAGAGCCGGAGCAUGCACAGCCUGCACGUUACGCUGGGAAGGGAGCCUGGUCGCAGGGCACACGGCCAGCCCUGGGUGAACUCAGCCUGGCCAGCAGACGGGGCCCAGAACACAAUGCCCUUGGCAUGAAAAACACUGAGAGCCUGGUACAGCUCAGAUAUCUGCCUCUGGCAGGGAUCCUGCCACAGCGAGGACCACCCACCAGGACAGAGCUCCCCUGGGCCAGGGGUGUGGGGAGCAGGGUCCGUUUUCUAUUUCCAGCGCUGAGGUGGCUGAAGCCAUCAGCCCCAGGGUACUGAUGGAUCCAGACUAGCCCUGGGGGAUGCCCAGGUGCUGCGUGCCCAUGACUGACGAAGGCUGCCCAGGGUCGCUGCAGACACUCCCUGUCUGAGCAAAGUUGGACCUGCUGCAGAGUCGGGGAGCUGGAGACUGAAAGCUCCUGUCCGCAGCUGUGGGCUGCAGCCUGGGUUCUUCCCAGCAGUGGUCAGGUACCAGCUCAAGGGAGGGGCUGGGCUGGCUUGUCUCACCCAGACCCUUCCUUCCCCACCCCCAAGGCUCCCCUCCAACCAGCCCUUGGCCAAGCCUCUCCCUGGCUGGUGUGGUUCAUGCCACCAUUGUGGAGCUCACUGUGUUUAGGGGGAUUGGCUAUGACCCCUGCACUGCAGCUCCCUGGAGAGGCCCUGCACCUCAGGCUCUGUCAUUGACUAAUAAAUCCCCCCAUGGCUGGGUUA